UACAGAGGUCUCAAGCGUUGUUCGGAUUCAUUGGGCGUAAAGGGUGCGUAGGCGGCGCGGUAAGUCGGGUGUGAAAUCUUGGAGCUUAACUCCGAAACUGCAUUCGAUACUGCCGUGCUUGAGGACUGGAGAGGAGACUGGAAUUUACGGUGUAGCGGUGAAAUUCGUAGAUAUCAAGCGGAACACCGGUGGCGAAGGCGGCCUUCUGGACAGUGACUGACGCUGAGACGCGAAAGCGUGGGGAGCAAACAGG
rnacentral:rRNA from 1 species